UCCGAUAUGGUGUAGUGGUUAACAUCGUUCGCUCUCAUUAGGAUCUCAUCCGACUUGGACCGAACAGCCCCGGGUUCGAUUCCCGGUGUCGGAA
rnacentral:tRNA from 2 species